UAUCACAUUUGCUCUUGA
rnacentral:snRNA from 1 species